GCGGGUGUGGCGGAAUGGUAGACGCGCAUGGCUUAGGACCAUGUAGAGAAAUCUGUGAAGGUUCAAGUCCUUUCACCCGCACCA
rnacentral:tRNA from 1 species